rnacentral:rRNA from 1 species
GACAGAGGGGGCAAGCGUUGCUCGGAAUCACUGGGCGUAAAGGGCGCGUAGGCGGGAUGGCAAGUCGGUCGUGAAAUCUCUCGGCUCAACCGAGAAACGUCGGCCGAUACUGCCGUUCUUGAGGGAUGCAGAGGAGACUGGAAUUCCCGGUGUAGCGGUGAAAUGUGUAGAGAUCUGGAGGAACACCGAUGGCGAAGGCAGCCUUCUGGGCCAACACUGACGCUCAUGCACGAAAGCGUGGGGAGCAAACAGG